GACGAACGCUGGCGGCGUGCCUAAUACAUGCAAGUAGAACGCUGAAGGGAGAGCUUGCUCUUCUGGAUGAGUUGCGAACGGGUGAGUAACGCGUAGGUAACCUGCCUGGUAGCGGGGGAUAACUAUUGGAAACGAUAGCUAAUACCGCAUAACAUUGACUAUUGCAUGAUAGUCAAUUGAAAGGUGCAAAUGCACCACUACCAGAUGGACCUGCGUUGUAUUAGCUAGUUGGUGGGGUAACGGCUCACCAAGGCGACGAUACAUAGCCGACCUGAGAGGGUGAUCGGCCACACUGGGACUGAGACACGGCCCAGACUCCUACGGGAGGCAGCAGUAGGGAAUCUUCGGCAAUGGACGGAAGUCUGACCGAGCAACGCCGCGUGAGUGAAGAAGGUUUUCGGAUCGUAAAGCUCUGUUGUAAGAGAAGAACGAGUGUGAGAGUGGAAAGUUCACACUGUGACGUAUCUACCAGA
rnacentral:rRNA from 1 species